UGGGGAAUAUUGCACAAUGGGCGAAAGCCUGAUGCAGCAACGCCGCGUGAGUGAUGAAGGCCUUCGGGUUGUAAAGCUCUGUCUUUUGGGACGAUAAUGACGGUACCAAAGGAGGAAGCCACGGCUAACUACGUGCCAGCAGCCGCGGUAAUACGUAGGUGGCAAGCGUUGUCCGGAUUUACUGGGCGUAAAGGAUGCGUAGGCGGAUUUUUUAAGUGAGAUGUGAAAUACCCGGGCUUAACUUGGGUGCUGCAUUUCAAACUGGGAAUCUAGAGUGCGGGAGAGGAGAAUGGAAUUCCUAGUGUAGCGGUGAAAUGCGUAGAGAUUAGGAAGAACACCAGUGGCGAAGGCGAUUCUCUGGACCGUAACUGACGCUGAGGCAUGAAAGCGUGGGUAGCAAACAGGAUUAGAUACCCCUGGUAGUCCACGCCGUAAACGAUGAGUACUAGGUGUAGGAGGUAUCGACCCCCUUCUGUGCCGCAGUUAACACAAU
rnacentral:rRNA from 1 species